UACGUAGGGUCCGAGCGUUGUCCGGAAUUAUUGGGCGUAAAGGGCUCGUAGGCGGUUCGUCACGUCGGGAGUGAAAACUCGGGGCUUAACCCCGAGCCUGCUUCCGAUACGGGCAGACUAGAGGUAGGCAGGGGAGAGCGGAACUCCUGGUGUAGCGGUGGAAUGCGCAGAUAUCAGGAAGAACACCGGUGGCGAAGGCGGCUCUCUGGGCCUUACCUGACGCUGAGGCACGAAGGCCAGGGGAGCAAACGGG
rnacentral:rRNA from 1 species